UACGUAGGUGGCGAGCGUUGUCCGGAUUUACUGGGCGUAAAGAGCGCGCAGGCGGUCGUACAAGUCGCGUGUGAAAGCCCCUGGCUCAACUGGGGAGGGUCACGCGAUACUGUUCGACUUGAAGGCAGGAGAGGGAAGUGGAAUUCCCGGUGUAGUGGUGAAAUGCGUAGAUAUCCGGAGGAACACCGGUGGCGAAGGCGGCUUCCUGGACCGAUACUGACGCUGAGGCGCGAAAGCUAGGGGAGCAAACGGG
rnacentral:rRNA from 1 species